rnacentral:lncRNA from 1 species
CCUCAACUGCAGCCAUACACUCAGGCUCAACCACAGCAACCCCUGCAACCUCCACUGCAGCUGUAUACUCAGCCUCAACCACAGCAACCCCUGCAACCUCAAUCCUCAGGCUCAACCACAGCAACCUGUGCAAUCUCAACUGCAGCUCCAUCUGCGGCCGGCACCACUGCUGCUGCAACCUCAGCCCCAGCAAUCCCUGCAAUCUUAACUGCAGCUCCAUCAGCAACCACAUCAGCCGACGCAAGUGCCGCCGCUGCCCCAACCUCAACCCCAGCUACCUCAACUGCAGCAACCCCAGCCCCAGCCCCAGCCCCAGCCGCCAACACAGCUGCAAGCGGAACAUGGCCUGGACUGGACAGUUAGCGAUU